rnacentral:rRNA from 2 species
GGGUUGUGAGGUUAAGCGACUAAGCGUACACGGUGGAUGCCCUGGCAGUCAGAGGCGAUGAAGGGCGUGCUAAUCUGCGAUAAGCGCCGGUAAGGUGAUAUGAACCGUUAUAACCGGCGAUACCCGAAUGGGGAAACCCAGUGUGACUCGUCACACUAUCAUUAACUGAAUCCAUAGGUUAAUGAGGCGAACCGGGGGAACUGAAACAUCUAAGUACCCCGAGGAAAAGAAAUCAACCGAGAUUCCCCCAGUAGCGGCGAGCGAACGGGGAGGAGCCCAGAGCCUGAAUCAGCAUGUGUGUUAGUGGAAGCGUCUGGAAAGGCGCGCGAUACAGGGUGACAGCCCCGUACACAAAAGCGCAUGUGCUGUGAGCUCGAUGAGUAGGGCGGGACACGUGGUAUCCUGUCUGAAUAUGGGGGGACCAUCCUCCAAGGCUAAAUACUCCUGACUGACCGAUAGUGAACCAGUACCGUGAGGGAAAGGCGAAAAGAACCCCGGCGAGGGGAGUGAAAAAGAACCUGAAACCGUGUACGUACAAGCAGUGGGAGCCCCACCACUAAGCCAGUGGUGAACUCCACAUACGCAUCCUUUGCUGAGGAUACGGUUAACGGAGCGAAAGCGACGUUCAACCGCAAAAGAAGCAGAGGGGGCUUAGUGGUGGGGUGACUGCGUACCUUUUGUAUAAUGGGUCAGCGACUUAUAUUCUGUAGCAAGGUUAACCGAAUAGGGGAGCCGGAGGGAAACCGAGUCUUAACCGGGCGUUAAGUUGCAGGGUAUAGACCCGAAACC